rnacentral:SRP_RNA from 1 species
GCCUUGGUCUUGCGCAAUGGAGUCUCGUGAACCCCGUCAGGUCCGGAAGGAAGCAGCGGUAAGCGAACCGCUUCAUGUGCCGCGAGGGCGCCUGGGGGUCG